AAUGAUUGUCAGCUGUUGUCAGCCGAAUCAUCACACAAAAAAGGUCAUAGAAGAAAAAAAGAGAGAGAGAUUACAACUUACAAGUUUGUCGUUUGUAGACCACGUCGGAUCGUGUGUUAAAUUCGCUUUUAUAAUAAUUAAAACAAAAAAAAAAAAUCAACCUUUAAAAUAUCCAGUAUUUGAUAUUUAAUUUUUGUAAAUUAAUUAUAUUAAAAUAACAUGACACGAGGAAAUCAAAGAGAUUUGGCACGUGCCAAAAAUGCAAAAAAAGAAGGUAAAAAAGCAGCAUCUGAACAAGAAAGCAAUAAAGGUUUAACCUUAGAACAACGAAAACAACGUGAUGCUGAGAGAAUGAGAGAAAAACAACUAAAAAAAGCUGCAGAAGCAGCCAAAAAAGAUUAAUUAAUUUAUAAAUACUUAAUUUACAAAAAAUAAAAAUCAAUUAUCAUUGUUUAAAAAAAAAAUACAUCAUCUUUCAAAAUAUAAGAAUAUUACUUUCAUCAAUUUAUAUAGAUCAACAAAUGCCAUGUUAAUUAAAUAUUUUUUUUGAAUAAUAAUUUAAAAAACUCAUAUAAUGUAAUAGAAAAAUAAAAAUAAAAAACAAAACAUUUUUAUUGUAAAAAGUAAAUAAAGAUACACAACAUCCUCAUAAUAAUUUUUUCUAUAACAUUUGAAAAUAAAAGAAAUGAUGUCAAA